GACGAACGCUGGCGGCGUGCUUAACACAUGCAAGUCGAACGGAAAGGCCCAGCUUGCUGGGUACUCGAGUGGCGAACGGGUGAGUAACACGUGGGUGAUCUGCCCUGCACUCUGGGAUAAGCCUGGGAAACUGGGUCUAAUACCGGAUAUGAUCAACUGUCGCAUGGUGGUUGGUGGAAAGCUUUUGCGGUGUGGGAUGGGCCCGCGGCCUAUCAGCUUGUUGGUGGGGUAAUGGCCUACCAAGGCGACGACGGGUAGCCGACCUGAGAGGGUGAUCGGCAACACUGGGGCUGAGCCACGGCCCAGACUCCUACGGGAGGCAGCAGUGGGGAAUAUUGCACAAUGGGCGCAAGCCUGAUGCAGCGACGCCGCGUGAGGGAUGACGGCCUUCGGGUUGUAAACCUCUUUCACCAGGGACGAAGCGUGAGUGACGGUACCUGGAGAAGAAGCACCGGCCAACUACGUGCCAGCCGCCGCCGUAA
rnacentral:rRNA from 1 species